GUGUGACUGCGUACCUUUUGUAUAAUGGGUCAGCGACUUAUAUUCUGUAGCAAGGUUAACCGAAUAGGGGAGCCGAAGGGAAACCGAGUCUUAACUGGGCGUUAAGUUGCAGGGUAUAGACCCGAAACCCGGUGAUCUAGCCAUGGGCAGGUUGAAGGUUGGGUAACACUAACUGGAGGACCGAACCGACUAAUGUUGAAAAAUUAGCGGAUGACUUGUGGCUGGGGGUGAAAGGCCAAUCAAACCGGGAGAUAGCUGGUUCUCCCCGAAAGCUAUUUAGGUAGCGCCUCGUGAAUUCAUCUCCGGGGGUAGAGCACUGUUUCGGCAAGGGGGUCAUCCCGACUUACCAACCCGAUGCAAACUGCGAAUACCGGAGAAUGUUAUCACGGGAGACACACGGCGGGUGCUAACGUCCGUCGUGAAGAGGGAAACAACCCAGACCGCCAGCUAAGGUCCCAAAGUCAUGGUUAAGUGGGAAACGAUGUGGGAAGGCCCAGACAGCCAGGAUGUUGGCUUAGAAGCAGCCAUCAUUUAAAGAAAGCGUAAUAGCUCACUGGUCGAGUCGGCCUGCGCGGAAGAUGUAACGGGGCUAAACCAUGCACCGAAGCUGCGGCAGCGACGCUGAUGCGUUGUUGGGUAGGGGAGCGUUCUGUAAGCCUGUGAAGGUGUGCUGUGAGGCAUGCUGGAGGUAUCAGAAGUGCGAAUGCUGACAUAAGUAACGAUAAAGCGGGUGAAAAGCCCGCUCGCCGGAAGACCAAGGGUUCCUGUCCAACGUUAAUCGGGGCAGGGUGAGUCGACCCCUAAGGCGAGGCCGAAAGGCGUAGUCGAUGGGAAACAGGUUAAUAUUCCUGUACUUGGUGUUACUGCGAAGGGGGGACGGAGAAGGCUAUGUUGGCCGGGCGACGGUUGUCCCGGUUUAAGCGUGUAGGCUGGUUUUCCAGGCAAAUCCGGAAAAUCAAGGCUGAGGCGUGAUGACGAGGCACUACGGUGCUGAAGCAACAAAUGCCCUGCUUCCAGGAAAAGCCUCUAAGCAUCAGGUAACAUCAAAUCGUACCCCAAACCGACACAGGUGGUCAGGUAGAGAAUACCAAGGCGCUUGAGAGAACUCGGGUGAAGGAACUAGGCAAAAUGGUGCCGUAACUUCGGGAGAAGGCACGCUGAUAUGUAGGUGAAGUCCCUCGCGGAUGGAGCUGAAAUCAGUCGAAGAUACCAGCUGGCUGCAACUGUUUAUUAAAAACACAGCACUGUGCAAACACGAAAGUGGACGUAUACGGUGUGACGCCUGCCCGGUGCCGGAAGGUUAAUUGAUGGGGUUAGCGCAAGCGAAGCUCUUGAUCGAAGCCCCGGUAAACGGCGGCCGUAACUAUAACGGUCCUAAGGUAGCGAAAUUCCUUGUCGGGUAAGUUCCGACCUGCACGAAUGGCGUAAUGAUGGCCAGGCUGUCUCCACCCGAGACUCAGUGAAAUUGAACUCGCUGUGAAGAUGCAGUGUACCCGCGGCAAGACGGAAAGACCCCGUGAACCUUUACUAUAGCUUGACACUGAACAUUGAGCCUUGAUGUGUAGGAUAGGUGGGAGGCUUUGAAGUGUGGACGCCAGUCUGCAUGGAGCCGACCUUGAAAUACCACCCUUUAAUGUUUGAUGUUCUAACGUUGACCCGUAAUCCGGGUUGCGGACAGUGUCUGGUGGGUAGUUUGACUGGGGCGGUCUCCUCCUAAAGAGUAACGGAGGAGCACGAAGGUUGGCUAAUCCUGGUCGGACAUCAGGAGGUUAGUGCAAUGGCAUAAGCCAGCUUGACUGCGAGCGUGACGGCGCGAGCAGGUGCGAAAGCAGGUCAUAGUGAUCCGGUGGUUCUGAAUGGAAGGGCCAUCGCUCAACGGAUAAAAGGUACUCCGGGGAUAACAGGCUGAUACCGCCCAAGAGUUCAUAUCGACGGCGGUGUUUGGCACCUCGAUGUCGGCUCAUCACAUCCUGGGGCUGAAGUAGGUCCCAAGGGUAUGGCUGUUCGCCAUUUAAAGUGGUACGCGAGCUGGGUUUAGAACGUCGUGAGACAGUUCGGUCCCUAUCUGCCGUGGGCGCUGGAGAACUGAGGGGGGCUGCUCCUAGUACGAGAGGACCGGAGUGGACGCAUCACUGGUGUUCGGGUUGUCAUGCCAAUGGCACUGCCCGGUAGCUAAAUGCGGAAGAGAUAAGUGCUGAAAGCAUCUAAGCACGAAACUUGCCCCGAGAUGAGUUCUCCCUGAC
rnacentral:rRNA from 1 species